CACGAGGUGUCUGUCCACUGCCCUUUUUAUGUUGUACUACUAGUGAACAUGCGCAAAAAGCAGUGCAAUGUUAAAAGGGCAUUGGCCAGCAAUGCUC
ensembl:miRNA aca-mir-130a-2 aca-mir-130a-2